rnacentral:lncRNA from 1 species
AACCUGUUUCUGGCCAUGCUGUGAAUCUGCAUUCUUUACUGUGUCCUUGGGAUACUAGGAGGAACCAGAGGAGCAGAUCCUGCUAGGAGGCUAAGCAUGAAGAAGGAAUUCAAAGAAACCUUGUGGAGAACGAAGACACAGCAGGGAGUCUCUGAUCAAGUGCCACAUCUUUAGAGAAGCUUUUCCAAACAACCGCCUUCAAGCUCCAGAUAAUCCUCAGUGAGGUAUACUGUCCGCUCAAUAUCCAAGAGUCACCCUUCUACAAGGGACCUCUAGACUGCCCAUAAGUGAGACAUGACAGAGGUAAAGUCAUGCUCCUGUCUCCCUUGGACCUGGCUGGAAACUGCAUUCAUCAACCCAUGGAACCACCCCCCUGCCAUGAAAGCUAGCAAGAGGCCAAGACCCACAGAACAACCACCAUCAUCCCUCUGUCAGCAGGAAGCGGUUACAAAAGACUAACCUUUGCCCAUUUUCCCCAAAGAAUUGGG